GGCAGCUAAAAAAGGUUGCCCAUCAGCUGUGGCUGUGGAGGCGCGGCUGAAGGAGGAGGGAGGAGGAUUUCUGUGAAAUACAACGUCAACAUACGAGCAAGGCAGUGAGAAGCUGGAAUAAAAGCAACAAGUUUCAACGGUGACAUUACAUCGACAUCGAACACGUCAAACAAGUGUGCUUUUACCAUUGUUUAUUAAAAAUGUAUUUAUAGAGAGAGAGAAUGCCAGUCAAGCCUAAAGGCGACUACAUACCCGGAAGUCAAUCUUUCCCACGGUACGUGAACGCAAUCAACAGAAGACCAACAAGAUUUUCAAAACAAAAACAUCUCAGUAUGUCUAUUUAUUUAAAAUGAUGCCAAGACAAGUAUAAUAUUUCCAUUUAAAAUAAUACCUAUAGCAUGCAAGGUGUCACAAAGUUGAUAAUUUGAUUUGAUAGUAUAGACAAAUCAUAGUCCCACUUAUGUACUAGAAUAACAAUGGGAUAAAAUCUUCUUUAUAUAAUAUCUUUACAGAUACUUUAGGGAAACUUCAGAUAAGGGGACUCAGUUUGUCAUUUGUAUCUGCAAUGUGCCACACCAAUGAAGGUUAAAAAAAUGCUUUGAGAAUCAGCGUAUCUUUCAUC